AGAGUUUGAUCCUGGCUCAGAACGAACGCUGGCGGCGUGGAUUACACAUGCAAGUCGAACGCGAAAAGGGGGCAACCCCGAGUAGAGUGGCGAACGGGUGAGCAAUACAUCGGAACGUGUCCUGUAGCGGGGGACAACCUCGAGAAAUCGAGGCUAAUACCGCAUACGAUCUACGGAUGAAAGUGGGGGACCGCAAGGCCCCACACUAUAGGAGCGGCCGAUGCCGGAUUAGCUAGUUGGUGGGGUAAAAGCCUACCAAGGCGACGAUCCGUAGCUGGUUUGAGAGAACGACCAGCCACACUGGGACUGAGACACGGCCCAGACUCCUACGGGAGGCAGCAGUGGGGAAUUUUGGACAAUGGGCGCAAGCCUGAUCCAGCCAUGCCGCGUGAGUGAAGAAGGCCUUCGGGUUGUAAAGCUCUUUCGGCCGGGACGAAAUGGCGCGGGGUAACAUCCCGCGUCGAUGACGGUACCGGAAGAAGAAGGACCGGCUAACUACGUGCCAGCAGCCGCGGUAAUACGUAGGGUCCAAGCGUUAAUCGGAAUUACUGGGCGUAAAGCGUGAGUAGGCGGUCUCGCAAGUCCGAUGUGAAAUCCCCGGGCUUAACCUGGGAACUGCGUUGGAAACUAUGAGACUAGAGUGCGGCAGAGGGGGGUGGAAUUCCAGGUAGCAGUGAAAUGCGUAGAUAUCUGGAGGAACACCGAUGGCGAAGGCAGCCCCCUGGGUUAGCACUGACGCUCAUACACGAAAGCGUGGGGAGCAAACAGGAUUAGAUACCCUAGUAGUCC
rnacentral:rRNA from 1 species